rnacentral:sRNA from 1 species
GAGGGCCGCAGGCUAUCCAGCGUGGCGCCUGGUGGCCGGGCCCUGUGCCGGAGGACAAGGUGAACCCGGAGCCGGACUUCCGCUGCACUGGGGCUCCGAAUGACCCAGAAUCUGGGGUGGGCUUAGGCCCCGGGAGUGAGAUGGCCUCAAUCUUGCGAAGCCCUCAGGCUCUCCAGCUCACUCUAGCCCUGAUCAAGCCUGAUGCAGUCGCCCAUCCGCUGAUUCUAGAGGUAAGAAUGAAUCCUAAGCCUCUACCGCAUGCCCUGGGAAUUGCCACUGCUUCAGGUGCCAUUGGGCCAUUUAUGGUGACUGACAACACAGACUUGUGCUGGAUGCUGUGGAGGCAAAGCUAGAAGCCAUGAACUCUGACCUAAGGAGACUAAGAAUCUAUUGGAGACUUG